AGAUUAUUAAGAAUUUUAUUUAUGAUUUAAGAUUUGAUUAAGGAUUGAUUAGGAUUGAUUUAGGAUCUACGAUUUGAUUAGGAUUUAGGAUUUUAUUUGGAUUUUAUUAGGAUUUGACUAAAGAUUGAUAAGGUUUUGUCAAAGAUUUGUUUAAGAUUUCAUUAGGAUUUAUUAGAGUUGGUUUAGGAUUUAGAGAUUUUAUUAGGAUUUUAUUAGAAUUUAUUAAGGUUGAUUUAGGAUUUAGAAUUUCAUUAGGAUUUUAUUAGUAUUUGAUUUAAGGUCUAUUAAGGUUUUAAUUAGA
rnacentral:lncRNA from 1 species